GGAGUGGUAGCUCAGUGGUAGAGCAUGGGAUUGCAGAUCCCAGGGUCUCGCGUUCGAUCCGCGAUCGCUCCU